UACGUAGGGUGCGAGCGUUAAUCGGAAUUACUGGGCGUAAAGCGUGCGCAGGCGGCUUGCCAAGUCAGAUGUGAAAGCCCCGGGCUCAACCCGGGAACUGCGUUUGAAACUGGCAGGCUAGAGUUUGGCAGAGGGGGGUGGAAUUCCGCGUGUAGCAGUGAAAUGCGUAGAGAUGCGGAGGAACACCGAUGGCGAAGGCAGCCCCCUGGGCUGACACUGACGCUCAGGCACGAAAGCGUGGGGAGCAAACAGG
rnacentral:rRNA from 1 species